UUUUCCGAGGAGCGUUGCGACGGCCCGAGGCCACCGGUUCUGCCCGGGGACCCGGCCGCCAGGCUCGGAAACGCAGAUGCCGGGGUUGUCGACCCGUCCUGCGCGCAACGGCGCUCACCCCAC
rnacentral:ncRNA from 2 species